AACCCACUUAUAACAUUUCCCCCAAUUCCCAAACCCUAGACCUAAUAACAGAAACAUCACCCCCCUUUACUGUUCUUCUUCUUCGCUUGAAACUCGCCUCAACUCGCCUGAGUGUUGAACGAGUUCACUCAUUGGUCCCCCAAGUCACCUUAUCCUCAACGGAUUUGUCAAAGGAGUACGAAUUUUCUCUCCGAAUUGCACGAUUCUCGUAUAGAAGGAAAUUGGUGGAUGAAUGGGAGCCGUGGAUAGAUGUAAAUAGAUCCACGCCCUCCAUUUGUCCCAAAAUUGUUCAAAAAUCUGAAGAUUUUCGGAUAUUUUGAGCAGAAGAUUCGAGAUUUUUUUAGGGUUAUAUAUAGGAGGUAAGCCUUCUUUUUCAAGGUUUUUAAGAAAAAUAGAGAGAAAAAUAUAGAGAGAAAACCGGAAAAAAUCUUCAGAGCCUAGUCAAACUUUCUAGGGUUUUAGUGACCGUUAUGUUUCAAGUUUUUUUUUUAGUCUAUUUCUCUGUUUUCAAAAGAAGAAAAAAAAAGAUGGCUUGAGUUUUUGGCCCUCAUUUGAGUUCAUAUUACCAAAAAGAAAAAAAAAUCCAGAAGCAAAACUUUCUAGCCUUAUUUCGUUUUUCUUGAUUUCUUGGUUCUAAAAGAAGGUUUUGGAUCGAAUUUCGAGUUUAAGUUUGUGGUUGGGUUCCGAACUUUCUUUAUUUUAGGUUUUCUGUCCAAUUUUUGGUCGAGAUUCGGAUUUGCUCGGUUGGUCUGUGAAGCUGCUGUUUUUGUUGCUGAAUCUCUCCUCCCAUUUCAGAGCUUUCUUUUGAUAUUUUUCAGCUAUUUUCCAAUAGGUAUGCUCUCCUUAAAAUACCUUCAGAACUUUUUUUUUGAUGUGUAAUUCUUGAUUUUGUUUUAGCCUAUUCACUUGUUAUUACUUGAAUAUGGGAUUGUCUUUUAGUUCGUUUCUGUUGUUGCUAUCAGAACUUAUUGGGUUUGAUUUAUUUUCAGCAUUGAACAGAGUGUUUGUAGCUUGAUAAAAAUGAGAUUUUUGUUGGAACUUAGAUCUUUUUGUUUGUUGGUGUUAAUCUUUUGGUCUUGUUCUAGAUAGAGUGAAAAUAUUUGAUUAGUUUCCCUUACUCAGUUGAAUUUGGGUCAUACGUGGUAAGUUUCAAACUAAGGUCAACUAUUCUAUUUUGAUUCUUGUUCAAAGCUGGACGACAUUUAAAGCUUACUAAGAAAUAUUUAUGUAGUUGAAAUCAUGGUUAAAAAAUCAGUCUCUCUUUGUGGAUCCACAAGUUCAAGCUAAUGACCAUGGGAGCAGUAAAGGAGUUAAUUUGUUGAAAAAGGGUGAAUUAAUAAGGUUUGGUUAAAUGGGUUAAAAUUCCAUGCUUUGAACGUUACUAGGCUUGAUUUUCUUGCUUAGCUUUUGUUUACCUUUUGUUAUACUCUGUUCUUUUUGUUUCUCUUAAAAUAUUCUUCCUUGUCGUAUUCUUGUGUUAAGCUAAGUGUUAAGGACAAAAAUAAAAGAAUUGAGUUUCAACUUUAAAAGGAAAAAAACGCUGGACUGGGAAUGCCAUUUUCUUAUGAAUAGAUGAGAUGCUUGAGGAUUACUUUGUUUUUUGGAAGACAUCAAAUGGAGUGAAUGUAGGCCAAUUGAAUGGCACUUGCUGAAAUUCCAAGUUUGAAAAGAUAGAAUUUAUUUGUACAAUUUUACUUUUAAAGUUGGGGUCUAUGCAAUUCAUUAUGGUAUUCCGAAAGAUUUGUACAUAAUGUUAUGUUAACAUAAUUCAUGAUAUUACUGAUUAAGAGCCAAUUUUAUAGACAUUUGGUUGAACCUUUACUUGUUUGAAUAUUGGUCAAGCCAUGGACAAUAAUUUACCUUUUGUCUCUUCUGUAUGAAUUCAUGGACUCUUGCUUUAGGCAUUAAAAUACAAAGUCAAGAAUGUGAAAGUCAUCCUGUUAUUUUGCUUUCCAUUCUCCUUGCUGGAAAUUCAAAACACCUUUAUACUUAUGAAAGUGCAAUUCGUUAAUUUAGAAUAAGCUUUACUGCAUUAUUGGUUCAAGCGAGCUUUAUAUUAAGCUUAAUCUCUGCGCAUUUACCCACGGGUCAUUUCUAUGAAUUUCUGAGCUUGUCACAUGAUCCCAAAUUAGCAUUAGAAUAACAACUCAUGAAUACCCGUAGUUUGCUUUAGGCUCGAUUUAGACUAGUAUUGUGAUCAUGCAUACGUUCGCGUAACAUAAUUGCAAAUUUAAUUCUUAAAAGACUCGAGGUAUGCGUUCGAGCAACUUCAACAAAAUUUUCUUAAUAAAUAAAUAAAGCGUUGUUAAUUGUGGACACGUUCGCGUGACAUGGUUUUUGACGCGCCAAAAGAAAAGAGUAUACGUACGCGUAACUCAGUUCUUUAAUUACGAAUAAAUCAAGUUUUUUUAAAAGCGGUAAAAGAUAAUUGCACAUAGGUCUUAAAAAUGAGUAGUUAAACAAUUAAUCCAAAUAUAAAUUGCUAAGCGAUUGUGCUAGAACCACGGAAUCCGGGAAUGCCUAACACCUUCUCUCGGGUUAACAGAAUUCCUUACCUAAAAUUUCUAGUUCGCAGACUCUUUAAAAAUAAAACUUCCUCAAUUUGGGAUUUAAAAUAAACCGGUGACUUGGGACACCAAAUAAUUUAUUCUUAGUGGUGACUCUGAUUAAUUAAUUAAUCCCAUUUCGAAUAAUGUCACUUAAAUUGGAAAAACUCCCUUAUAUACCCUCGGGGUGUGUAAAAAGGAGGUGUGGCAGCUCUGGCGACUCUGCUGGGAAAAAGAACCCAGAACUUUCGGUUCAGGGUUCAAGAAUUUGAGCUUGUUAAUGUGAUUUUUAUUUUGGCUUUAUUGUUGAUAUUACUAUAUUUUGUGGACUUAAUGUGCUAAUUGCCAUUUACCGAUUUGAUAUUACUUGAACUGUAAUUAAAUGUCUUCUUACGCCUCCCUUCAGAGUCUUCUAAAAAUGGUGCACACAUUCGCGUGACCCGCUUUUUCUGUAGAAAUUAUACCAAAUAGAUCGAGGCUGGGCCAGCAACAAGGCCGGGUAGAUUUUAGUGCUCCCGGUACGUUGCCCCCUCUUCAGCCCCAGUUGUCCGCUCGGGUAACCCAAGUCUAGACCACAAACCCCAGGUUUUAAACCUAGAAUAAUGCAACCUCAUUCCGGAUCCCUAGUAGGAACGAUUAUUUGCAUCACGUGCAUUUGACCUUGGGGACUCAACACAGGGGUUGGGUCCGUCUAGGACAGGUAUACCCAAAAUAAAGACCAUCAUGAUGCAUCCUACGUGCUAUGUGAAUAUUUAUUUAUUUCGGCCUGCAUGUUGACCAGUUAAUAAAGAGAAAAACCAAGAGUGAGGUAGGAUAGAAAAUUUACUCGAUUUCUAAAAAUCCCGGUAUUUGAAAAUAUCCCGAAACUCUGCCGAAUUUUUGAAAAAAAGAAAGAAAGGAAAAUGUAUUUCAAAAAGAGUGAGUCAAAUAUCAUAUUUUUAUGAUAAAACUGCCCGAACUACGCAGGUCUGAUUCUCACCGGAUGUGGGAUACGUAGGCAACCCACAUAAGGUUCAGCCUUAUUUUACCAAUUAAUAAAAUAAAAAGGUGUUUCAAGGCUUUGGUCAAAACAAUAUGCCGACCCGACUUCGGUUGUAUUUAAGUUGUUUCUCCCCGGAAUAGCUUUAGAUUACAAUCCAAUUGUUGAAAGGCUAGUUUCGAGAGGAACAAGAAAAAGGUGUCUUUUCCAAUAAAAUACCUACCCCCCGGCCUCAAAAUUCGUUUGGAAUUGUGAAGGGGCCACGUUUGCAAAAACGACCAUUUCUUGCUGACAUAGAAAUAAAAGGGGGCCUUGUCCAUUGAUUUUUUCUUAGAAAAAACUUGUUUUGCAAAGAAAGUCCACAAGAGUCAAGCCUAACCUUAACCCUCCAUAGGUACAAAUGAAUACUGUCCAGGAAUCAUCGCAAAUUAUCAUAGAAAGGGCUCAGAUGCAGCUACGUAAGUGGUGGGGUGAUUUAGAUGAGGAGGGCAAAGUUUGGGUAAAAGAGCAGUUGGGUCCCUUGGUAGACAUCAUGCACAUCAAGCCACGAGAGGAUUUAAUUAAGGCUUUGUUAACCUUUUGGGAUCCCGUUCACAAUAUGUUUCGUUUCUCGAAUUUUGAGCUCACACCCACUCUAGAAGAAAUAGCUGGGUAUAUUGAUUUCGGCCAAGAGUUAAGAAGCAGCAGCUCAUAUUCCCCAGGGCUCCCUUAGCGCACAAAUUCUUCGAUCUUUUGAAAAUUAGCAAACAAAUGAGCAAGGACCACGCAAGCAAAGGGAUUUGUGUGUUCUACUUCUUGUGUUUCGGGUUUGGACACUCGGCCAGGUUUGAAACCCAUGAGAAGGGGUUGAGUAACAACAGGACAAGAGCAUAUGGCAAAUUCAUCGACGGUUUGCUUUCAUCGUGGCAUUUCUGGGAAUCAUGGUAUUUUCGAAUUCUGAGGGUACAAUAAACCUUCGUAUGGCCAGAAUCGCACAGGUCCUCGUCGAUAAAAAAGAUCACACACUUGUCCCAUUAGUGUUGGCAGAAAUUUAUCGGGCAUUAACAUUGUGCAAAUUUGGGGGUCAAUUUUUCGAAGGCUGCAAUAUUCUUCUUCAGAUGUGGAUGAUCGAACACUUUCGCCGUCAUCCUAAGUUCAUGAGUUAUGCUUCAGACGGGAACAAUUUCAUCUAAAAGUAUGAGGAAAGGGUGGAAGAUUACAAACCACCAGAAGGGUUUGAAGCAUGGGUUUCCGAUUUGAGAAAAUUUAGAGCAGAUCAAAUUGAAUGGACCAUAGGAUGGCUCCCAGUAACAGAAAUCAUCUACAUGACCUCUUCAAAGGGCUACUUGAUGAUGAUGGGAGCGAGAAGUAUACAACCAUAUGCACCACAAAGAGUUCUGAGACAGCUGGGAAGAUAUCAGGUGAUACCCAAAGAGGCAGACCUAAGCACUCAAGUCAUUGAACUACACCUAGAAGCAACGAUACCUGAGGCUUUAGUUCAAAGAGACUGGAAUUGUUGUCGAUAUCUAAAAAGUAACACCCAGGUGCCAGACCCAGCUAAGGGUGAAGUUGAUCCCAAUUAUGCUGCUUGGUUUGAAAGGAGUUUUUAUGUGUACAAUGAGCUGGAUCCCGAGCCCGAACCUGUGAGGCCCGCCAAAAGGCCCCAUGUUCAGGCUUUUGAUGACAAAAUUCAGGAAAGGUUAGCUUGGGGGAAAAAGGAAAAGGAAUAUCAGGCCACCAUCCAUGAUCUGCGAGAAGAGUUGAGAAAUGUCACCUUCAACAAUGAUUUACAGGCACAAGAGGCCGAGGGUGAGAGGAGAAGAUUGGUUCGAGAAAAUGAAGCUCUCAGGGCCCAGGUUCAACAGCUGAAAAUAGCAGCCAAGAAUCCGGGCCAAAGAAGGAAAGAUGAAAGGCUCAUUUAUAACCUUACUCAAAAAGGUGCAUGACUAUGAAGAUGACAUGCAGAAAGCUGAGUCUGAACUAGCAAAAGCACGAACGAGGUUGGCUAAAAUGCCGAAGGGCGUGCAACUUUCAUUCAAUAGAUGAAAGAAAGAUAUGAAAGAGGGGUCAUGGGUUGGGAAAAGGCAAUUGACAACCUCAAAGGUGAAAUGGCUAAACAAGCCAAAAAUUUUAAGGCCGAGAGAGAACAUUGUUACGCCUUAAUAGCACAGUUGGAAGAGGACUUACAGCGCUUGCAAGAGCAAAAUCACGCUGCCACCCAGGUCUUAGAGGCUAGAUCCCAUCAGGUUGGCCGUUUGUUGCAAGAGAAGGGCAUCAUAAGAGAGAGAGUUCGAAGGAUUGCUGACUACAUCACCAUGAAAUGCAGUGCGUGUGAGGACAUGACAAGAUCCAUGUUUUUCGCCACUAUAAUGAUCUUCGUCCGUCAUAUAAUGGAAGAACUCUAUCGGCUCCAAGAUGACAUGGCAAGUAGGCCCGCUACAAGACCGGUUGGUGUUCCUAGGGUAGGGUUAGCGGCACUGAUGUUUUCUUGAUUGUAUUUUUUUCCUUUUUCCGAGUCUGUAUUUUCAUAUUUCGAGUUUGUUUUCAAUUCCUAGAAAAGGCAUGUCCUGAGUCUUAAAGUCCUAGAAAAGGUAUGUUUUGAGUCUUUUUGUAAUUCAGUAAAGUUGUAUUAAUGAAAAAUUGAAAAAAAAACCACAAAAAUUGUUCUUUUAUUUUUUGCAUUUACUUCUUGAACUAUGUUAUGAUCUGAUUCGCACGGCAUCGUGAUACAUAGGUAAUCCUUAUCGGAUUCGGUCAUAUUUUUGUAAACAAUUUAAAUAAAAGAGGGAAAAAAUCAUAAGAAAAAACAAAAAGAAAGAAAAGAGAGUCAAAGAAAAACCAAAAACAGAAAAAGGAGAGAAAGGAAAGAGAAGAGAGGAAAAUAAGGAAUAACCGAUGAGGCAAGAAGAGAAAAUUGGGGAAAAUAAGCAAAACUAGGAUGAAACAUGCAACCGUUGCGAAACAUGUAGAAAUACGUUUAACUGUAUAGGUGCAUCACACCCCAACGUGCGAUUUCCUAUGUGUUAUUUGUUUCAAACUAACCAAUUGGUUGUCUACUGUCAAGUCCAAGUUCUAUAGUAAGGUGGUUGGUUUUGUGGUAGUCUGGCUUCGCAUCCAUACUUCACGAGGUCGAAAGGUAGCGUUGAAAUGUCUUCAGAAAUCACUCUGCCAACAGUUCCUAUCAUGGAUGAGAGUCCGAUCUCGGGCAUCCCGACUUCGGAAUCGGUGACUGCCGAGGAAAACAUGUUACUACAUCUCUGCAUGAUGGAAAUGUGGGGCGCCUGGUCAAACGGAAGAGAGCCACCAAGUUUAAUCCCCGGAUUUCUCUAGCUUUUUGCUAGGGUAGGUGGAGCCUCCAAUAUCCCGAUCAGUCACUCCAAUAUCCCACUCGGAUAUCCAACCAUUUCGGCCCACUUUGUUGGAAAACCUUCUAAGGUUCGCCCCCAGGUGUUAGCUUUAGGAGCGGCUUAAAAUAUUUUCACUGCUCCGCCAUGCUCAACUACUACACAGUCUACGCUGCCCAGGCCCAGCUUUGACCCAUCAUCCUUCACCUUCCAAACACCAUCUUUCCUACUGGAACAUGUACAGUUUCCCACCUAUACUCAACCACCCCGAUAUGAGUUCAUUGCGGGGCAAGAAAAGACCACCAAAACUCCUGAGCAAGAAGAGAUUGCGAGGAAGAUGAGGAGUAUGGAAUAGAGUCUCAAAAGCAUAUAAGGCUUGAGUGGACAUAAAAGUGUAUCCUAUGCUGACUUAUGUAUGUUCCCUCAUGUGCAUCUACCAUUGGGAUUCAAAAUCCCAAAAUUUGAGAAGUAUGAUGGGCAUAGUGAUCCUAUUGCUCAUCUCAAGAGAUAUUGCAACCAGCUGCGAGGAGCCGGUGGAAAGGAAGAACUCCUCAUGGCCUAUUUCGGAGAAAGUCUGGUUGGCAUCGCAUCUGAGUGGUACAUGGACCAAGAUAUAUCCUGCUGGCACAUAUGCGAUGAUCUUGCUAGAGAUUUCAUCAGGACGUUCCAAUACAACAUUGAUAGUGCUCCAGAUAGGAACUCAUUGACAAACUUGAAGAAGAAAUCCUUGGAAAGCUUCCAAGAGUACGCAGUUAAAUGGCGUGAGCAGGCCUCCAGGGUAAAGCCUCCCAUGGACGAGAUUGAAAUGCUCACAGUUUUCCUCCAAGCCCAGGAAGCCGACUACUUCCAAAAUAUGAUGUCUGCAAUGGGUAAACCAUUCGCUGAAGCCAUUAAGAUUGGCAAAAUGGUUGAAAAUAGUUUGAAAACGGGUAGAAUUCUAAGCUAAUCCGCAAUCAGAUCUACCUCCCAAGCCAUUCAGGGUGGGUCUGGAGGAGUAACGAAGGGCAAGAAAAAGGAAGAAACAUGCAUGGCAGUGUGGGUGCAAGAAAACACCAUACUCCAGAUCCCUUUUCUCAAAAAGGACUCCACAGCACUAUUACCCCCACCAAGACGUGACGUAUGCUCCUCAGCCAUACACGGUCAUGAAUGCUCAACCUUAUGUCCGGCCACAACAACAAGCCAACCGGAACCAAGCUCCAUUUCCUAGAAACCAGCCUCCUUACCAAAACCACUACAACCCCCGGCCUCCACAAAACAAUUUCCACCCUCGUGAACCACCCAAGAGGCUAAACUUCACACCCAUCGAUGAAUCCUAUUCCAGCUUAAUCCUCAAACUUGUUCAGAUGGGUUUGUUGUAGCCCGUUCCCCAAACCAGAUAGAACCCAACAUCACCCCCUUACAGAGCUGGUACCCGAUGUGCCUAUCACUCAGGGACAGAAGGGCACAACACGGAUGAUUGCUGGACUCUGAAGAGAGCCGUGGAGAACUUGAUAGAACAAAGGAAGAUAGUGCUAAGGGAUGGAGAUAUUCCCAAUGUGACUAACAACCCACUACCAGCCCACAACAACGGACCGGUAAUCGGAAUAAUUUGUGAGGAUAAGGAAUUUGACCCAGCAUUGAAGGCCAUCAUUGCCAUCGCUGAUGUAGAAAAGAAAUCAAAGGCUUCCCCGAAGCAAGACAAAGGGGAGAAAAAGAACAAAACCACCCCUCCAGAGUCAGAGAAAAAAAUUGAAGUUGAAACUGGGGCAACGCCUCCCAAAGAUGUUGUUCUCUAUGUCCCUCGAGGCCGCAAAGAAAAGCAAAUAACUUUGAGUCAUCCUAGGAGAUUCGAGCUAAACAAGACAACCCAAAUAUAUGUGCCCAAGGGAGCUUAUGUGAUGCGAGGGCCAAUUAAUCCACCAAGGCUGAGUGAGCCCAUGGUUGUUGGCCGCGCGCCACAGAAGCCCAUGAUAGAUCCUGCCGUUGUGCCCUGGAAUUACAACAAAUCGGUGGUGACCUCUAAGGGCAAAGAAAUCUCAGGAGAAGUUCAAGAAAAUAACCCGUUUGAAAAGUAUUUCUAUUUGGAAGAUGUGAACAACGCCACUAGAAAGCGCUUUCCAUCUAAGAAGCCCGUGAGUGCCGAAGAAGUGGAUGCCUUCUUUCAAAAGAGGAAAAAUGGCGGAUUAUGAGGUGAUCAACCAGCUUCGAAAAUCUCCCGCACAAGUCUCCUUGUUAUUUCUGUUGAUGAACUCCACCGAACAUCAAAAGGUAAUGAUCAAGACCCUUAACGAAGCAUAUGUGCCUGUUGAGACUUCUGUAGAGCAGUUGGAGAGAAUGGCAAAAAGAUUUUUCGCAAUCAACCAGAUCUCCUUCAGCAAAAAUGACUUGCCCCCAGAAGGGGCCGCACAUAACAAAUCCCUGCACCUGACAGUCAAAUAUGAAGGGUACUACGUAAAAAGGGUUAUGUUGGACGGAGGCGCAUUUGCCCACUCUCAACUCUGCAGCAUAUGGAAAUCGGUACCGAAAUAAUCCGACCCAACAAUGUAUGUGUACGUGCCNNNNNNNNNNNNNNNNNNNNNNNNNCUUUUGGGGAGGCUGUGGAUUCAUGCAGCGGGGGCUGUACCCUCUACUUUUACCAGAUGGUGAAGUUCGAGCAUGAGGAUCAAGAGAUUGUGGUCCACGGGGAAGAUGGGCAAUCAAUUUAUCGGGACCCAUCAGUCCCAUGUCUAGAAGCAAGAGAGAGGAGUGAGCACAUAGUCUAUCAGGGCUUUGAAAUCGUGGUCGGAGAUCAGUGCGAAGAAGGAAAACCUUGCCCCCAACCCUUCCGACUGAGUCUCAAUCCAGAAUAAAGAAAAGAAGAAAAAGAACAAAAGAAGUAAAUUCAAAGUGCUGAAGCGGAGAAAGAUGUGAACUGCUCAAGAUAUGAUUGAAGUCAUGAGCUUUGCACGUCCCGCCUUGAUCCAAAGCUGAAGAAAGAACCAGAACCUACAGUUGACGAGCAUCAAGAUUCAGAUCGGAGUCUGCAUCGAGAACCAACCAAGACUCAAGAUCAAGCUUCAAAAGAUUUAUAGAUAGGAAUCUUGUAACUCGUAGUUGAUAGGCUUAGCUAGUUUAGCUUCUUAUUUUCCAUUUUUGGUUGUAAUAGGGAAUUCAGCAAGCAGUAGCAGCAGCAACAACAGUGAAAUCGCAGCUUUCCGAUAGUCCCAGCUAUCAAAACUUCCAGAACUACACUGACCUGAUUCGUUUAUAGCCAAGGAUAUGUAGGCAACCUUUGAAGCAAGGUUCGGUCAGGCUCUUAUCAAAAGUGCUUCUCAUGGAGUUCAGAUAGGCAAAAAUCCCUCGUAGUUACUCAUUUUAUCUUUGCCGGAAACCCUUUGUGUCUCCGAGCAAAGAGGAGCAGCUAUGAGUACGUGAUUUUUGCCUCACAUGAAUUACUCCUACAGAAUUCCAAAAAUUAGAUUUUUCUUUUAAUUAUUUGUUAUUUUAAGAAUUAUUGUAGAAUUCUUCUGAUUGUUUGCAUAUUUACGUGCAUGUUUAAUUUUAUUUAAUUCAUGAAAGAACACAAAAAUACUUUGCAUUUGCAUUUAGAAUUUAAUUUUGCAUCUUAGGAUUUAAUUAGUAAAUUAGUUGUUCUAUAAAAUAUGAAAAAUCCCAAAAUAGUUCAUGUUGCAUUUUAACUCUUUAAUUUUGAAUUUCAUAGAUUUUUCUUUUAAUUUAGGACUUAAUUAAUUUUUGUAAGUACAAUAUUAAGUAAUUAGUCUAAUUUGGCAGAAUAAUUUGGUUUAGUAAUUAAUUUAGGUUAUUUUAAUUUUGAAAGGAAAGAAGAUUUUGAAAUUGAAAGAAAAAGAAAAGAAUUUGAAUGAAAAGUCUGUUUGGGCCAUUUUUAAUUAAAAUUCCCCAGGCCCAAACGAUUAUGCCUUGAAACCCGUCCAAUUUCUGGCCCAAACACGUGUCUUUGCCCAGUCCAACCCUUAGCUUAUCCAAACGACGCAGCUUCGAGUUAGUCUAGUCCGGAUCCAUCUCAGUCGUUCGUUUAUUCGCAUCCAACGGCUCAAACUACUUGCCCCAAUUGCAUAAAAAUAUCCGAACUACCUUCAUUAAACCUAGUACACUGAAUUGUUUCACUUUGUCUCCUUCAGAGAGACCAUUAACCCUAGCGCCACCCUUGAGUUCCCCGCCAUUGUAGACGGCGGCGCCACCUCCAAUCAACCCCAAACCAACACCACAACACCUCCACAGCCUCCCCUUUCCCAAUCUCUAACAGAUUUCCUUCGAAUCACCCUAGGAUUUCUCGAAUCUUCAAUCGAAGUGGUCCGAUCCCAAACCCUAAAACCCAAAUCUCCCCAAAUCAUCGAGUUUCAGUAAAGGAUUGGGGUCAAGGUUGAUUUUAUUCGUGUAUUCUUAACAAGAACACAUGAUUAAUGUCAAUCUCGGCCGAAAUUCGAAGGUGUGAAGAUUUUUCAAUUUCGCUGUCCCAAACCGUCUCUUAAGGUAUUUGUUCUUUUGUUUUCUCUGUUUGCUUUUAUUCUUCUUCAUUUUUCAUUCUUAGUUCUCCUCUCCUCUUCUUCUGCUUCUUUCUUUUAUUUCUUAUUUUUCUAUUCCUUCAAAUCAUCUGUGUAUGCAUGUCAGCUUUAGAGUUAGUUUGGUUAGCAUUGUUUUUUAUAUUGAGUUUUCUUUUUGAGUAGUUUAGUUUUCUGUUUCCAUUCUUUCUUUGGGGCUCAGGGCUUCGUGAGUCUUUGUGACUCCGCAAGCUUUUGGUUGUGUGAAUUUGUUGAGUUUGAUUGAACUUGGACCCUAAAAAUCCGAAGCCCAAAAGGGGAUUCAAUCCGGGUGGCAAGACCAUUGGUUUGGAGCUAAGCCUUGGGUCAAUUUGACCCGUUUGGUUCCUGAAGUAAAUACAAGGGGUUUAAGGGUUAGUUUAGGAAAUUUAGGCUAGGGAAUCUUGUAUAACUGAUUGGGGAAACUUCUAGGAAGGUGGGUUUGGGGCUGUUUUGAAAAUCUGAUUUUUAAAUUAGGGAUUGAAUAGCAAAAAUAAAAAUUUAAAAAGAGGUAAAGAGCAAUAAACUGACCCAUUUCUACUGCCCUAAGGCUUGUCUAUAAGGGCAUUGUUUCUUCACUAACAAAGGGGGAUUUGGAGAAAUGAAUAAACACUGAAAAGUUUUCAAACGGCUGAGCAAAAAGAAGAACUCCAAAACUCUUGCAUUUUCGGUAGAAAAUUGAUCUAGUUUCUGCAAUUAGUCUUUCAAUUCUGAAACCUUCAAAGGAUUUCUAGCUUAUUUUGGAUUCAAAGAUGGUUUAAAGGCUGUUGUGCACUAUUCCAUUGUUGUUGAAAUACUGCUGCUGUCAACUGAACUUCUCAUUUUUGCUGAUCUUUAAGCACAUUUUCUUCUUCUGUUUUGAUUGUUGUAUCCAGGUAUUCACUACACUCUUUUGAUGUAUGAAAUGGAAGAACAUGAAGCUUGUUUGAGUGACCUGAAAAUCUGUGACACAUCAGUUUGGUUAAAUGCUAUUUCUGAACUCCUGAAACUAGCAGAUUUCUGCAUUUUAGUUUAGUUCCCAUUUUGUGUACAUUUGAUCAUUUUUGUUGCUAAGUUUUUGAAAGUUUUAGAUAGAUACUCUAGUUUGGCUGACUGGUUUGUAAAAGGACUGGAAUACUGCUUAAGUGUGGGGACUGUUGGUUCUCCUUUAUAUUUAAGUGUCAAUGAGGUCAAUGUAGGAUUUAGAAAUCUCGUUUGAUUUGCUACAUGGGAUUUGAUUGAGAAUCUCUUGUUGAAUCCAUGUUACUAGGCCUAUGCAUAUGUUUUGAAAUCCCAUCAAGUGUUCUGAUGAAAACUGAAGUAAAAGUUGGCUAUGUUUUGAUAGUGAUACCAAUAGGGUGAUUGGUUAUAAUACUCUAUGGUAGUUUCACUAAGUGUUUUAGUUUCAAUGAUGAUUCGUAGUAGUUCUGACUUUAAGAUGCAUAAGAUUGGUUGUUCACUGAACAAUGAAAUGUUCUAUGUUGCAAUACAGG
rnacentral:lncRNA from 1 species